AACGAACGCUGGCGGCAUGCCUAACACAUGCAAGUCGAACGGGACCUUCGGGUCUAGUGGCGCACGGGUGCGUAACGCGUGGGGAUCUGCCCUUAGGUACGGAAUAACUCAGGGAAACUUGAGCUAAUACCGUAUAAUGACUUCGGUCCAAAGAUUUAUCGCCUAGGGAUGAACCCGCGUAGGAUUAGCUUGUUGGUGAGGUAAAGGCUCACCAAGGCGACGAUCCUUAGCUGGUCUGAGAGGAUGAUCAGCCACACUGGGAC
rnacentral:rRNA from 1 species